UCUGCUGCCAGAGCUGUGGAGUGUGACAAUGGUGUUUGUGUCCAGUCUAUCAAACGCCAUUAUCACACUAAAUAGCUACUGGUAG
rnacentral:pre_miRNA from 12 species